CCUACGGGUGGCUACAGUGGGGAAUAUUGGACAAUGGGGGCAACCCUGAUCCAGCCAUGCCGCGUGUGUGAAGAAGGCCCUCGGGUUGUAAAGCACUUUCAGUGAGGAAGAACGCCUGGUGGUUAAUACCCAUCAGGAAAGACAUCACUCACAGAAGAAGCACCGGCUAACUCCGUGCCAGCAGCCGCGGUAAUACGGAGGGUGCGAGCGUUAAUCGGAAUUACUGGGCGUAAAGCGCGCGUAGGUGGCUUGAUAAGCCGGUUGUGAAAGCCCCGGGCUCAACCUGGGAACGGCAUCCGGAACUGUCAAGCUAGAGUGCAGGAGAGGAAGGUAGAAUUCCCGGUGUAGCGGUGAAAUGCGUAGAGAUCGGGAGGAAUACCAGUGGCGAAGGCGGCCUUCUGGACUGACACUGACACUGAGGUGCGAAAGCGUGGGUAGCAAACAGGAUUAGAUACCCUGGUAGUC
rnacentral:rRNA from 1 species